rnacentral:rRNA from 1 species
GACGAACGUUGGCGGCGUGCUUAAUACAUGCAAGUCAACUGAAGCACCGGUAGUAAUACUGGUGUGGAGGUGGCGCACGGGUGAGUAACACGUAGGUAAUCUGCCUUCAGGUCUGACAUAACCCCGAGAAAUCGGGGCUAAUAGCAGAUGAUGCAGCGGCUUGACAUCAAGACAGUUGUUAAAGCUUCGGCGCCUGAAGAUGAGCCUGCGUCUGAUUAGCUAGUUGGCGGAGUAAUAGCCCACCAAGGCGACGAUCAGUAGCUGGUCUGAGAGGAUGAUCAGCCACACUGGAACUGAGACACGGUCCAGACUCCUACGGGAGGCAGCAGUAAGGAAUAUUGCUCAAUGGGAGAAAUCCUGAAGCAGCAACGCCGCGUGAGGGAUGAAGGGCUUUUGCUCGUAAACCUCUGUAGUGAGGGAAAAAUUUCCAUUCUAUGGAAUAUGAUGGUACCUCAAAAGUAAG